rnacentral:lncRNA from 1 species
UCCUUCCUUCUCUUAAUUUGACCAUUUUAGUUCCAAUAUAACGUCAAGCACUUAUUUUGCAGAAUAUUUUUUGAAAGAAAUUACAGAAUUUACCACUAUUUGUUGUUUUGAAUUUUUAAGAAAUGGCAUCCGCAGCCUCUACAUUUAGGGUGAAAAAUAAAGAAUUUGCCCAGAGCGCGUAUUACAUGAACAGUGAGGAGAAAACUGGUAUUCCCCUCAGGAGAUUUAAGAUUAUUUGGGGAAAAAAGAGGAAGGAAGGAAAGGAGGAAGGAAGUUAGUUGAUAAAUAGUUUUAAAGUCUAUAAAUUUAAAAUAAACCAAAUAAGAGAAAGAAGAGUAUUUGUUCCACUGUCCUUCCCAUUAAGAUGUAGGUUAGGUACUGGGGCUGGCAUGACACAAACAUCUAUCUUCUUCCUAAAAUGGAAAAACAAAUUUUAUGAAAAUGAGUGAGUUAACAGCAGGAAUGUCAGCUCAGUCAAUGACUCAAUGCUCUUGUAAAAGGAAGUGUAUACUUUACUACUUUGGCCUUUCUAUAUUUUUCUUAUUUUGUCUGACUACAUAUUGCAGACAUUCUUUUCAGUUAGCAAGUAGUCUAAUUUGCAGCUGCUUUUAUAAAACCAAAGCUUCCCUCCUACAAAUGAAAAUGUUCAAGUCCUUCGAUCUCUAGUAUCAUAAGGUUUGUUAUUUCAGACAUGUAAAACACCCAGAGCAUGA